GUCUACGUCCAUGCCACCCUGGACAAACCCGAUCCCGUCUAAUCUCGGAAGCCAAACAGGGUCAGGCCUGAUUAGUACUUGGAUGGGAGACCACCUAGAAAGACCAGGUGCUGUAGGAG
rnacentral:rRNA from 1 species